rnacentral:misc_RNA from 1 species
UUAACUAUUUGUAUUAUAUUCAGACAUCAUGGUUUACUAGAGUUUGAGGGUCUCUAGCAGGUGCUGACCAGCCAGAGCCGGUUGUCCUGGGACGGACCUGCUAAAGCAACAAAGGUAUGAUAAACAAAGGGUGGAGCGGAGGUAGCAGGCUACCAACUCUCUUUAAUGAUCCUUCCGCAGGUUCCACUUGUCUCAGGCUGGCUACAGCAGAGACCGAUCAUAUCUUAACCCGAGGGCCACCUCUAUUUGACCUGUGAGCCUGACAAGCAGGCUGCUAGUAACCGAUCAGGAUUCCUAGCAGGGUAGAGAUGUUGCCCACUAGCAGGUCAACCUGCUAGCAGACUAUGCCGUUGUUUAGGGUCGCGGCCCAAGGACGUAGGCGAACCACCUACGGAAA